rnacentral:rRNA from 1 species
ACAUGCUUAUAACAUAGUGUUAAUGCAACGGAUCCCAUUAGAACUAUGUAGUUAAGCGCGCUUGGGCUAGAGUAGUACUGGGAUGGGUGACUUCCCAGGAAGUCUCAGUAUUUUACAUGCC